UUGACAGGACACGGCAGGCCCAGCAGUCCGACAGAUAACCGAGAAAGAGCUUCACACGGCGGCUACUUCUUUUCCGUUAAUCGGGUGGAGGUAGGAGGAGCAGCCUCACCAAUCUAUAGAUUAAAUUAAAACCCGUUUAGGUAUGGAGGCGUUUCAGUGAGGACCAGGUGUCCGUAGCUCCGGUUCUUGGUGUUAGCGGAGCGGACUGCCUUAUGAAAAUAUGCCAGUUUUAUGUCAUCACGCGGUUUUUACAUAAAAAUUAAUCCCCGGAGUUUAAGAUCGGACACAGCAGACUGAUGAAGGUUCCAACAGAUUCCAUGAAGCCACAUUACGGCUAAAUAAUAAAAGUGUGAGGAUACUGUGAGAGCUGGCUUCAUCGUCACUAAGGCUGGAGCGGUGAUCUGUUCGUACCGGAAUUCUCUGUUUCUGUGUUUAGGUGUGUGUGAGUAGGAUGGGGUUUUUGUUGGAGUGUGUAUGAGCCAUGCCGUCCACGUUGUCCCAGCAGCUGCAUGGUCUUCGUGUGAAACUGCUGCGGCGUCACGAGCAUCGACCUUUCGUGUCGUGUCUGGUCGGUCUGUACGGCUGCCGGUGGAGACGCCAUGAGAGGAGCGGCACCCAGCCGGGAGACUGCUGCUGCAACAAGGUGGAGGGCUUCUCCUUUGCUCUGCUGGUGGUGGCUUUCUGCCUGACGCUGGUCUUCCUAUACUUCUGGGGACAAGCAGGGAACGACUACAAUGACUUCGACUGGUUUAACUUUGGGAACUUGGGCUUCUGGUUUCCCUGGUCUGUGGUGCUGCUGGUCAUCGCUGCAGGAUUCUUCAGCUACGUCACUGUGCUCAUGCUGCUGGCUGUGUGUUUGCUGUCAGAGGGCCAGAAGCUUCAGUUACACUGGAGUCACAAGAUCGGGAUCUUGGUGAGUUUGACCUUCUCCGUCGUGGCCACUGCCGUCCUGUCUGACCUGUGGAGUAAAGAAUGGACGACGUUGCUGCUUUCCUUCCAGGUGACAGCCCCUCACCUACACGUGGGCGGAGUCUUACUGAUGACGUCACUGGCUUGGCCCGUUGCUCUGCACGUCUUUCGCAUGAACAGCCGAGUAAAGAGGGGCCUGAUCACGGGGGUCUUCCUGACCGCCCUGUUUGCCCUCUACAUGGUGCCCCUCGGAUUGUACUCUCCAUGCAUCAAAGAGGAAGGGACCUUGGGCCCUGCACCGGCGCUCAUUGGCCACAGAGGAGCACCGAUGCUCGCUCCAGAAAACACCCUGAUGUCUUUUGAGAAGGCGGUGGAAGCUGGAAGUGAUGGUCUGGAGACGGAUGUCACCAUCAGUCUGGAUGGCGUUCCCUUCCUGAUGCAUGACCACACCCUACGUCGCACCACCAACGUCCACGAUGUUUUCCCGAACCGGACCGACACCCCGGCUGCCAUGUUCAGCUGGACCGAGCUGGAGAGCCUGAAUGCAGGGUCCUGGUUCCUGUCGCACGAUCCGUUUGGUACAGCUGGCUCUCUGGGAGCAGAGGAACGUCAGCGGGCUGGAAACCAGUCGGUCUGCAGCCUGCUGGUCUUCCUCCAGCUUGCAGCUCAGACACACAAACUGGUGAUCUUCGAUCUGUACCGUCCACCCAGAGGCCACCCGUACAGAGACAGCUGGAUCCAACGCACGCUGGAGGUCAUCCACAACGAGUCGUCCAUUAACUCGUCACAGGUGCUGUGGCUGCCGUCGGAUCUGCGCGUUCUGGUUCAGGAAACGGAUCCUGAGCUCCAGCAGACGUCAGGCAGCCGCCUCCCUCUGGAUGAGCUGCAGAGUAACCACAUUGUCAAACUCAACCUGCACUACACCUCCAUGUCCAUCGAGCUUAUCAGAGAGCAUGCUGCAGUAAAUGUGACCACCAACCUGUACGUGAUCAGCCAGCCGUGGCUCUACUCUCUGGCCUGGUGCACGGGAGUCCAUUCAGUCACCACCAACGCCCCCCAGCUCCUCAGCAUCCUGACCUCCCCUCUGCUCCUCAUUAGUCCAGAUGCCUACAAGCUGAUGUGGAUCCUCACAGAUGUGCUGUCCUUCAUGCUCAUUCUCAUCAUCUUCUACUUUCACUGGUGGCGAGAGCGGAGACUUUCUUUCUGCUCAGACGGUAAAACGACUCUGGACAAUGGUACCUACAGCAAAUUCAGAACAGAGAUGAGUGACAUCUGGUCAGUCUCCAGCUCUAAGUCGCAAACGGAGAAGAUGGCCAACCUGGCAACCGUGACUGAGCACUAACUGCAGCCUGUGAGGAGCUGACCUGGCAACGCUGAGCCAUUGACACUGCCAUCUGAACCGGACCAUUUUAUCUAAAUGAGACUUUGGAGACGCUGAACUGAAAGAAACACAAUUAUUUGUAGACAAUCAACCAGAGAUGGGGACUCGAGUCUGAGACUCGGACUCAAGCCGCACUUAAGUCGCAUUUCCAGUGACGUGAGAUGCGAUUCAGCCUCGUGAUUUGAGACUUGUGAGCAAUCAUUUAUUUCUAACAUUUUUUUUUCUUCAUGAUCUUCUCUCUGUCUAAUUUCCUGUCUCCUGUCAUUUCCUUCAAACGUAAUAUCACACAAACACAAAUGUGUCCACAUGCGACCAAAACAUGUUACUAGACCUGCUGAAAAACUGGUAGAACUUUCUAGCACUGCAAUUAACUGGUUUGAGUCCUAUUUAAAAGACAGUUAUUUGUGUCUAUAGGUAACCAAAUCUGAACAGACUAAAAUAAUCUGUAGAGUUCCCCAAGGCGCCAUCCUGGGGCCACUGCUGUUCAACAUCUACAUGCUGCCACUCGAAGGAAGAAAGAUUAAGAAUCAGCACUCAACUUUCAGCAGCUAAGUGCAAAACCAACAACCACUGACUUGCAGAUUUUACAUGUUUACCUGCUGCAAUACAAGUGAGUCCAUUUAUUAAUGGGUCAUUAAAAGGCUUGUGCAGAACUUGACAACAAGCUGUUGGAAACAGGUGUGUUGCUGCAUUAAAAUGUUGAAAACCAGCAGGACAGGUGGUGAUCCUGCACUAAAGGGCAGCAUACUGACCUGCCUUUUCUGCCUUGUACUCAGAAAAUUGAUGUAUUUUCUGAGUGGUGACCUGAGGGAAUCUGACCCUGGACUGGGAACAGUGUGGUUCUUGUGGGAGACACUGGGUUGCAUAAAGACAGGACAUUUGUUAAAUUGACAGGCUGUUGUGAGAAAGAAGUGAGAGAAGCAGACUGUCUUAUCUGGACAUUCAAGGUCAUCAUGGACAACAUGGGGUACUUAAGAUCUUUCCUUUGUCUUUGCUCCUCAGAGCCUCCUGAGACUCUCCUUGUACAAGCUUUAUUUUGUCAUUUUAUAAUAAACUUUGUUAAGCUUCA